rnacentral:lncRNA from 1 species
CCUUCGCCUUGGUGGGGGGGUGAGGGGCGGAAGGGAAAAAAUACUGGGGAUAGCAGGGGCUCGUUGCUCAUGGAAACUAGCUUAGGUUCUCUCUUCUGGGGACCGGGAGCUUGGGAUGAAUGUGUUAGCAACAUUCUGGGCUUAACUCAGGCAAGCCCCUUUUCUAGGGCUCUCCAUGGAGCAGAAGCCCGAUCAGAUUUGUGGGGGAGGAAACCACCCUCUGCGAAACCUCUGGGGCUGAGUGGAUCCUUCCUAGUAUCUUCAGGUCAACAGUGUCCUCCAUGCUCUGUUCUUCUUCCUAUCAAAACCUGCUCGCAGAUCGAGUAUUGGUCUCUGUGCCUGAUCCUGCCCCACAAAUCCUGGAACCAGUGUCUGUCAGCAAUGAGAGAUGAGUAG